GACCACCUGGCGAAAUGGUAUCGUGUCUGACUACGAUUGGGCAAGGUGUCAUCAGAUCAGGAGAUUGCAGGUUCGACCCCUGGGGAACUGA